rnacentral:snoRNA from 1 species
CACUUUGAAAGGAUGACAUUUUUAAAGCAUAGCUCAACUGAAGAUUCAUGUUGACUUAUCACAAUAGUCUUUCGCUCCUAGCUGAUCAUUAUA